rfam:Ectocarpus siliculosus strain Ec 32, whole genome shotgun sequence assembly, unassigned sequences LGTn
GCAUCAUUGGUUCAGUGGUAGAAUGCGUGAUUGCCAUUCACGCGACCCGUGUUCGAUUCACGGAUGAUGCA